UUGCUUUGUUGCUUACUGGUUAUAAUAAAGUAAAUGGCAAUAUAACUUGAAUGUAACAUGUUAUAUAACAAGUGCUUCGUAAAUAUUAUUUUGAUGUUAUAUAUUUAUUUAUUUGUAAUAAACUGAGUGUCGGGAGGAAACAGCGCGAGUUAGCAUCAGAAAACAACUGCAUACGCAUCUUGUUACGUGUGCGCGCAGCGGCUACUACGUCGAUGAUUGGUAGCGAGUGACACUCGCGCAGACGUAUGUGUAACACACAGCCAUAUUAUGUCUUGAUUGGUUCAGGAGCAUGCUGGGAAGCGAGAUCAUAUCAGCACGGGCAGGCAUGUUGCAACGUUGAAGCACGCAGGAGAGACAGUUGCCGAAUCGUAUCGUAAGUUCUUUUCCCCGGUCUGAUCAUUAUAAAUUACGAUUAUGCAACGUCUCGUCCGGAUGGAUACAUGUAGUAGCGUUCCGCUGCACUAUCCUCAACAGGAUCUUUAAAAGAUUAUAAAAUUCAAAAAUGACGCGUACCUUUGCGCGUGCCUACCAACGCCGCGGGUGCUCAUUGUUUUCCUGUUGUGCGAUUCCUCAAUAGGUCUUGUGAUAUUUUUCGGUCAUAUAUAGUGUUAGUUCUUUCAGCAAUGGGUAAAUCAGCUCAUAAAUCUAGGAAAAGAAGAAGAUCACCUUCCCCAGAUCGUCUCGCAGGCCUUGAGGACAAGAUGUCCCGCCUAAUUGAUAUAUUAACACAAGGUGAGGUUAUGGCGCCCAGUUGCCCCGUUCUGUCUUCAUCUUCGGCCGCUUCCCCGGUGCCUCAGGAGGAACAGGAAGACCGUAUCUAGACAGAAUCUCACUCAGUGAGUUACCCCGUGGUAUCCCUUGCGAGUCAAACGGGACCAACGGACCCACAAGUGGUAAGUGAUACUCUAGGUGAGGAUGACACAUCCCUUAGUCCACCUAAACGAGUCUUGCUAGAGGAUAACUCUCUGCCUAUAACCUCUGCUGCGGAGAAUGACUCAGAAUCUCUGGCUAGGCAAUUGUUCGGUUCCGAUCUAGAGGUGGAGGAAUCCUUGCCUUGGAACGAACUAGUAUUGCAGAGAUGGCAGGAAUUGUCACGUAAAGGGCUUCCUGCGGAUCAACGCGAAUCCUUGUUAAAGAAAUACUCUCCCAACGAGUCGGUAGCUUUUCUUAAAGCUCCUAUCCUGAACCAGGAAUGCAAGGUGGCUUUAAAAAACAACUCCAUGGUUAAAAGGGAUGAAUACGUGUGGAAGAAUCAAAAUUAGGAGGGCAUAGCGUUGUGCGCCCUAGGCGUGGCUAUUUCAGAACUCCUCGGGCCAGUUAUUCAGAACUCACUAACCGUUGAAGCCCGCCUUGUUAUAACAAAAGUUAACGAGGGAGCUAAGAUUUUAGCAGACUUAUUCUAUCAACUCUCUCAAUCUAGAAGGGCGCAGAUUUUACGCCUGCCCUUAACAUAAUUGCCAAAAACACGGCUGAAACAAUCCCGGCCGAUGAUCUCCUGUUUGGCUCAUCCUUUGGAAAGCAAAUGAAGAAAGCGGCCUCCAUGGAAAAAUCUUCUAAGGAAAUUGUUAAGACCCACUGACAAUAUCCAGGAGAGUACAACAGCCAGUCAAGCAGCCUACUCAGAUCAUUCCCGCUAGAUCGGGAAACGCCCGUGCCCCCUGUGAAAUAUUGGAGAUCGGCGACAAGGAGGACAGGGGUAACGAACAACAGCCGCUGAUCGUCUCAUCGUUCCAGAUCACAACCAAAGAGACGCUAGGACGCGAGGAGACGGAUACAUCCAGCUUGGAACAGAAUUUCCCUGGCAGCCGCGAAACUAUCAGGCAGGCUUUUUUACUGAGGGGAACACCAUCCGCAGCCCUGACAACAAUACUUGCUUCUAUUUCAGACGCCACAAAAGCGCAAUACACUAAGCCGCUCAAGCUGUGGUAGUACUUUUGUAAACAAAAUAGCCCUAACUGCUUCUCUCCGUCGCCCUCUCUAGUAUUAGAAUUUUUAUCUUUCUCGCUCUCUAAAGUAGGCUCUUAUGCUACUCUAAACUCCUACUGCUCGGCUAUAUCUCUUAUCUUCUCUAACAAAAUCGGUUCUCAUCCGCUAAUUAGGAGAUUCCUUAAGGGCGUCGCGACUCUAAAGCCUCAACGUCACCGCUACAAUUAUAUCUGGGACCCAUCGCCGGUUAUCAAACAUUUGGCUACUAUGUAUCCACAUGCGAGUCUCUCGCUGGAAUUAUUAUUAAGAAAAUUAGCCACUCUCCUCGCCCUUACUACUGCCCAAAGAAUGCAGACCCUUGCAGCUAUCCAGCUUACCAAUAUUAGUAUAGCGGAUUCGUUGGUUAUAAAAAUUCCCGCUAGACUUAAGACUUCCGGGAUGGGUAAACCCCAACCCUUGCUCUCAUUCACCCCCUUUUUGGAGAAACCCGAACUAUGCGUUGUUUCCUUAAUUAAAUUUUACAUCAAGGUUACCCGCGAUCUCCGUCAAGAGAGUUAUGACUCUCUUUUUAUAUCUGUCCGCGCCCCAUACAAUCCAGUGACUUCCCAAACUCUGAGUCGGUGGGUCAAAACAGAGUUGAACGCUGCAGGAGUUGACACAGGCAUUUUCUUGACACACUCGAUUCGUCAUGCGUCAACAUCCCUUGCAGCAGUUAAGGGCAUUAGCUUAAAUGAGAUUAGGCGUACAGCGGGUUGGACUAAAACCUCGGACGUUUUUGCAAGAUUUUAUAAUCGGCCUAUUAUUAAAGACUCGUCGCUUCAUACUGCGAUUCUUACCAGUGCUUAAGUUUAUUAUUAAUUAUUUAUUUACCAGGCCUAUAUACAGGAACAUCCGAACUUGUCACGGGUUCCUUCUUUUUAUUUCAAUUUAGACUAUCACAUCUAUAUAAACUGUUAUGUUCUACAUUUUUCAUUCUUAUAAGCUUAUUUAUGGAAUAUGUUUAUUUAUUUUUGCAUUCAGCAUUGAUAAGCCUAUUUAUAAAAUACUCUUAAAUUCUUAUAUUCUACGUCCAAAUGUGUUUUAUUUUCUGUAUCUCUUGUAGUUACAAGAGUCUGACGUAUUAAAAUGUUCUAUAUCUCAGACUAACUAAAGUUCGACAUUAAUUGCAUACAAAUCUGAAUGUUAAACAUCUACAUGUAUCCAUCCGGACGAGACGUUGCAUAAUUGAAUAAUCAAACGAAUUUACCGUGAAGUUCGAUUACAAUUAUGCUGUCUCGUCCGGAUGGAUAAAUGUAGUAGCGUUCCGCUGCGCUAUCCUCAACGGGCCUCACGUAAGUUUGUGUAAUUAAUCAAUUUUUGCGUUGAUAAUGAAAUGCAUUGGUACGACGAUCUCUGUACAAUGACUUUUUAAUUUAAAAUAUAAUAAUGCAAAAAUACAUAUCUAUUGUUUUAUGAAGCUUUAUUCACAUUAUUUAUACACUUUUUGUAUCACAUAAAAUUUACUUACAAUUAAUAUUAUAAUAUUUGCGUCGACGUACAAUAGGGCGGGUCCCGUUAGCGCACGGUGCGAUAGCACACAUCCCGAUAGCACAUAUAAAAUUUAACGUAAUUCCCGAUAGCCCAUAUCCCUUUAGCACACAGAGUAAAUUGCGUAUUAUCCCGAUAGCGCACAAGAUAAAACGCGCAUCUGGGAGGAUUCCGUUAGCGCACGGUGCGAUAGCCCACAUCCCGAUAGCGCACAAGGUAAAACGCGCUAGCGACAAAACUCGAAAUAGUAUGCAUUUUAUUAUUUUAUUUAAUGAAGAUUUGAAAUAUAGUCUAAAAGUAACGAAUUUAGAGAAAUU